CCAGAAGAGAAGCUGGUUGGAUUUCUGGGCAGAGACAAGCUCUUGGGGGCUUCCUUGCUCCCACUAAGCAAUUAUUUUAGGGCAUUCACCCCCCCUUUCUGCUUAUUUCCCACAGGGAUUGUGGUGCUUGGAGGAUCCCCCCACCCUUAAUUGAGAGCAAAGCUGCUGCUGAGGUUGGACGGGGGGGAGUGGCCAGAGCCUUGUCCUCUGCUGGUGUGCCUGGCCGGGGCGAGGGACGGCAAGGAGAGCAAGGAGAGCUGCAUGACUAAUGUUAUAUGCUGGGGAUGUCCCGGUUCAAAAAGCAGCAGGGUUGGGCUGAGUGAGAAACCAGGCCCUGAGGUGACUCACUGAAAGCUGGGGCUGCUGCGUGGGUCAUGGAGAAAGAAUUGGAUUAUCGGGAGCUGCUACCCAUCGUUGCCUGGAGAAGCCACACUCCUCUCAUGGCAGGCUGUCCUUUGUCCCCUCCAUCAGACAACCGCCUGAAUUGCUUGGAGAGCUGAGGCCUUGCCAGGAAUGGCACAGGAGUGAUUUUCCUCCCUCCACCCGUGCGGGCCGGUUGGUUGGAUUACAGAAACGACAAAGGAUAUCGGUGUUUUUCACCUGCCCAGUCCUAGGUACAAAGUUUAAGAGGAGGUGAGUGAAGUUGCUUUUAGAUUUGGCUGCUAUGAGCCAAUUUCUCGUGUUUUGAGCAUGCUGCUUGUGUGUUUGUAAAAGUGAGAAUGAGCGUUAAU
rnacentral:lncRNA from 1 species